CCAGACUCCUACGGGAGGCAGCAGCUAAGAAUAUUCCGCAAUGGACGGAAGUCUGACGGAGCGACGCCGCGUGGAUGAAGAAGGCUGAAAAGUUGUAAAAUCCUUUUGUUGAUGAAGAAUAAGGAGAAGAGGGAAUGCUUCUCUGAUGACGGUAAUCGACGAAUAAGCCCCGGCUAAUUACGUGCCAGCAGCCGCGGUAACACGUAAGGGGCGAGCGUUGUUCGGAAUUAUUGGGCGUAAAGGGCAUGUAGGCGGUUAUGUAAGCCUGAUGUGAAAUCCUGGGGCUUAACCCCAGAAUAGCAUUGGGUACUGUGUAACUUGAAUUACGGAAGGGAAACUGGAAUUCCAAGUGUAGGGGUGGAAUCUGUAGAUAUUUGGAAGAACACCGGUGGCGAAGGCGGGUUUCUGGCCGAUAAUUGACGCUGAGAUGCGAAAGUGUGGGGAUCGAACAGGAUUAGAUACCCUGGUAGUCCACACCGUAAACGAUGUACACUAGGUGUUGGGGCAAGAGCUUCAGUGCCAAAGCAAACGCGAUAAGUGUACCGCCUGGGGAGUAUGCCCGCAAGGGUGAAACUCAAAGGAAUUGACGGGGGCCCGCACAAG
rnacentral:rRNA from 1 species